CCCUUAGAUGUCCUGGGCCGCACGCGCGCUACACUGAGUGUCUGAGAUACGAGUCUGCCUGGUCCGGCAAGGUCUAGGUAAUCGCUAAAAGACACAUCAUGCUUGGGAUAGAUUAUUGCAAAUAUUAAUCUUGAACGAGGAAUUCCUAGUAAGCGCAAGUCAACAGCUUGCGUUGAUUACGUCCCUGCCCUUUGUACACACCGCCCGUCGCUACUACUGAUUUGAUGUUUAAGCGAGGUUCUCGAACUGCUAGCGACUUAGCUUCGGUGAGGUCGCAGUGUGGGAAGUGAACCUAGCUUUGGUGUCUAGAGGAAGUAAAAGUCGUAACA
rnacentral:rRNA from 1 species